AUUGAACGCUGGCGGCAGGCUUAACACAUGCAAGUCGAGCGGGGUGAUGGUGCUUGCACUAUCACUUAGCGGCGGACGGGUGAGCAAUGCUUAGGAAUCUGCCUAUUAGUGGGGGACAACAUCUCGAAAGGGAUGCUAAUACCGCAUACGUCCUACGGGAGAAAGCAGGGGAUCACUUGUGACCUUGCGCUAAUAGAUGAGCCUAAGUCGGAUUAGCUAGUUGGUGGGGUAAAGGCCUACCAAGGCGACGAUCUGUAGCGGGUCUGAGAGGAUGAUCCGCCACACUGGUACUGAGACACGGCCCAGACUCCUACGGGAGGCAGCAGUGGGGAAUAUUGGACAAUGGGGGGAACCCUGAUCCAGCCAUGCCGCGUGUGUGAAGAAGGCCUUAUGGUUGUAAAGCACUUUAAGCGAGGAGGAGGCUCUUUUGGUUAAUACCCAAGAUGAGUGGACGUUACUCGCAGAAUAAGCACCGGCUAACUCUGUGCCAGCAGCCGCCGCGG
rnacentral:rRNA from 1 species